rnacentral:rRNA from 1 species
AUUGAACGCUGGCGGCAGGCUUAACACAUGCAAGUCGAGCGAGCGGCGGACGGGUGAGUAAUGUCUGGGAAACUGCCUGAUGGAGGGGGUUACCUACUGAAACCGUUAGUUAAUACCGCAUACCAUCGGUUGUCCCAGAAUGGGAUUGGCUAGUAGGUGGGGUAAUGGCUCACCUAGGCGACGAUCCCUAGCGGGUCUGAGAGGAUGACCAGCCACACUGGAACUGAGACACGGUCCAGACUCCUACGGGAGGCAGCAGUGGGGAAUAUUGCACAAUGGGCGCAAGCCUGAUGCAGCCAUGCCGCGUGUGUGAAGAAGGCCUUCGGGUUGUAAAGCACUUUCAGCGAGGAGGCGUUACUCGCAGAAGAAGCACCGGCUAACUCCGUGCCAGCAGCCGCGGUAAUUC